UCUCCAACCAAGCUGUUUCUUAAAUUAACAUAAAAUUGUGUUUUAUAUCUUUGAUUUCUCUUUUAACUCCUGGUAUAGAACUCCACCAAUAAAAAUAUUCAGUAAAUGAAGAGACUAUAGAAUCUGGAAAUAGAUGUAGUCUCUUGUUACAUUGAACUUUUCAUUACAGCAUUUGGCCUAGAAUGAUUUGACAUAUCCAUCUUAAAGAUAAUAGCAAAAAUUAGUAGAAGAGCCCUAACCGGUUUGGCUCAGUGGAUAGAGCUUCAGCAGAUAGGAAGAG